rnacentral:rRNA from 1 species
GACGUAGGGCGCGAGCGUUGUCCGGAUUUAUUGGGCGUAAAGAGCUCGUAGGCGGUUCGUCGCGUCGGCUGUGAAAUCCCGAGGCUCAACCUCGGGUCUGCAGUCGAUACGGGCGGACUGGAGUUCGGCAGGGGAGACUGGAAUUCCUGGUGUAGCGGUGAAAUGCGCAGAUAUCAGGAGGAACACCGGUGGCGAAGGCGGGUCUCUGGGCCGAUACUGACGCUGGAGGAGCGAAAGCGUGGGGAGCGAACAGG